rnacentral:rRNA from 1 species
CCUACGGGAGGCAGCAGUGAGGAAUAUUGGUCAAUGGGCGCGAGCCUGAACCAGCCAAGUAGCGUGAAGGAUGACUGCCCUACGGGUUGUAAACCUCUUUUAUAAAGGAUUAAAGGGCGGCACGUGGCCCUUUUUGUAGGUCCUUUAUGAAUAAGAAUCGGCUAACUCCGUGCCAGCAGCCGCGGUAAUACGGGGGAUCCGAGCGUUAUCCGGAUUUAUUGGGUUUAAAGGGAGCGUAGAUGGGUUGUUAAGUCAGUUGUGAAAGUUUGGGGCUCAACCGUAAAAUUGCAUUUGAUACUGGCAGCCUUGAGUACAGUUGGGGUAGGCGGAAUUCGUGGUGUAGCGGUGAAAUGCUUAGAUAUCACGAAGAACUCCGAUUGCGAAGGCAGCUUACUAAACUGCCACUGACAUUGAUGCUCGAAAGUGUGGGUAUCAAACAGGAUUAGAUACCCUAGUAGUC